GAUGAACGCUAGCGGCAGGCCUAACACAUGCAAGUCGAGGGGCAGCACAGGUAGCAAUACUGGGUGGCGACCGGCGGAUGGGUGCGUAACGCGUAUGCAACCUACCAUUGAUUGGGGCAUAGCCCGAAGAAAUUCGGAUUAAUACUCCAUAAUAUUCAUCAAAGGCAUCUUUUAUGAAUUAAAGCUUUUGCGAUCAAUGAUGGGCAUGCGUGACAUUAGUUAGUUGGUGAGGUAACGGCUCACCAAAACGAUGAUGUCUAGGGGUUCUGAGAGGAUUAUCCCCCAACUGGUACUGAGACACGGACCAGACUCCUACGGGAGGCAAGCAGUGAGGAAUAUUGGUCAAAUGGACGCAAGUCUGAACCAAGCCAUGCCGCGUGCAGGAUGACGGCCCUAUGGGUUGUAAACUGCUUUUUCCAGGGAGAGAAACUUGCGUACGCGUUGCGCAAUUGACGGUACCCUGGGAAUAAGCAUCGGCUAAC
rnacentral:rRNA from 1 species